rnacentral:rRNA from 1 species
GACGAACGCUGGCGGCGUGCCUAAUACAUGCAAGUAGAACGCUGAAGGAGGAGCUUGCUCUUCUGGAUGAGUUGCGAACGGGUGAGUAACGCGUAGGUAACCUGCCUGGUAGCGGGGGAUAACUAUUGGAAACGAUAGCUAAUACCGCAUAACAGUAGAUGUUGCAUGACAUUUACUUAAAAGGUGCAAUGGCAUCACUACCAGAUGGACCUGCGUUGUAUUAGCUAGUUGGUGGGGUAACGGCUCACCAAGGCGACGAUACAUAGCCGACCUGAGAGGGUGAUCGGCCACACUGAGAGUGAGACACGGCCCAGACGGCUACGGGAGGCAGCAGUAGGGAAUCUUCGGCAAUGGGCGGAAGUCUGACCGAGCAACGCCGCGUGAGGGAAGAAGGUUGUCGGAUCGUAAAGCUCUGUUGUAAGAGAAGAACGAGUGUGAGAGUGGAAAGUUCACACUGUGACGGUAUCUUACCAGAAAGGGACGGCUAACUACGUG